GGUUAAGCGACUAAGCGUACACGGUGGAUGCCCUGGCAGUCAGAGGCGAUGAAGGACGUGCUAAUCUGCGAUAAGCGUCGGUAAGGUGAUAUGAACCGUUAUAACCGGCGAUUUCCGAAUGGGGAAACCCAGUGUGAUUCGUCACACUAUCAUUAACUGAAUCCAUAGGUUAAUGAGGCGAACCGGGGGAACUGAAACAUCUAAGUACCCCGAGGAAAAGAAAUCAACCGAGAUUCCCCCAGUAGCGGCGAGCGAACGGGGAGCAGCCCAGAGCCUGAAUCAGUGUGUGUGUUAGUGGAAGCGUCUGGAAAGGCGCGCGAUACAGGGUGACAGCCCCGUACACAAAAAUGCACAUGCUGUGAGCUCGAUGAGUAGGGCGGGACACGUGGUAUCCUGUCUGAAUAUGGGGGGACCAUCCUCCAAGGCUAAAUACUCCUGACUGACCGAUAGUGAACCAGUACCGUGAGGGAAAGGCGAAAAGAACCCCGGCGAGGGGAGUGAAAAAGAACCUGAAACCGUGUACGUACAAGCAGUGGGAGCACGCUUAGGCGUGUGACUGCGUACCUUUUGUAUAAUGGGUCAGCGACUUAUAUUCUGUAGCAAGGUUAACCGAAUAGGGGAGCCGAAGGGAAACCGAGUCUUAACUGGGCGUUAAGUUGCAGGGUAUAGACCCGAAACCCGGUGAUCUAGCCAUGGGCAGGUUGAAGGUUGGGUAACACUAACUGGAGGACCGAACCGACUAAUGUUGAAAAAUUAGCGGAUGACUUGUGGCUGGGGGUGAAAGGCCAAUCAAACCGGGAGAUAGCUGGUUCUCCCCGAAAGCUAUUUAGGUAGCGCCUCGUGAAUUCAUCUCCGGGGGUAGAGCACUGUUUCGGCAAGGGGGUCAUCCCGACUUACCAACCCGAUGCAAACUGCGAAUACCGGAGAAUGUUAUCACGGGAGACACACGGCGGGUGCUAACGUCCGUCGUGAAGAGGGAAACAACCCAGACCGCCAGCUAAGGUCCCAAAGUCAUGGUUAAGUGGGAAACGAUGUGGGAAGGCCCAGACAGCCAGGAUGUUGGCUUAGAAGCAGCCAUCAUUUAAAGAAAGCGUAAUAGCUCACUGGUCGAGUCGGCCUGCGCGGAAGAUGUAACGGGGCUAAACCAUGCACCGAAGCUGCGGCAGCGACGCUGAUGCGUUGUUGGGUAGGGGAGCGUUCUGUAAGCCUGCGAAGGUGUGCUGUGAGGCAUGCUGGAGGUAUCAGAAGUGCGAAUGCUGACAUAAGUAACGAUAAAGCGGGUGAAAAGCCCGCUCGCCGGAAGACCAAGGGUUCCUGUCCAACGUUAAUCGGGGCAGGGUGAGUCGACCCCUAAGGCGAGGCCGAAAGGCGUAGUCGAUGGGAAACAGGUUAAUAUUCCUGUACUUGGUGUUACUGCGAAGGGGGGACGGAGAAGGCUAUGUUGGCCGGGCGACGGUUGUCCCGGUUUAAGCGUGUAGGCUGGUUUUCCAGGCAAAUCCGGAAAAUCAAGGCUGAGGCGUGAUGACGAGGCACUACGGUGCUGAAGCAACAAAUGCCCUGCUUCCAGGAAAAGCCUCUAAGCAUCAGGUAACAUCAAAUCGUACCCCAAACCGACACAGGUGGUCAGGUAGAGAAUACCAAGGCGCUUGAGAGAACUCGGGUGAAGGAACUAGGCAAAAUGGUGCCGUAACUUCGGGAGAAGGCACGCUGAUAUGUAGGUGAAGCGACUUGCUCGUGGAGCUGAAAUCAGUCGAAGAUACCAGCUGGCUGCAACUGUUUAUUAAAAACACAGCACUGUGCAAACACGAAAGUGGACGUAUACGGUGUGACGCCUGCCCGGUGCCGGAAGGUUAAUUGAUGGGGUUAGCGCAAGCGAAGCUCUUGAUCGAAGCCCCGGUAAACGGCGGCCGUAACUAUAACGGUCCUAAGGUAGCGAAAUUCCUUGUCGGGUAAGUUCCGACCUGCACGAAUGGCGUAAUGAUGGCCAGGCUGUCUCCACCCGAGACUCAGUGAAAUUGAACUCGCUGUGAAGAUGCAGUGUACCCGCGGCAAGACGGAAAGACCCCGUGAACCUUUACUAUAGCUUGACACUGAACAUUGAGCCUUGAUGUGUAGGAUAGGUGGGAGGCUUUGAAGUGUGGACGCCAGUCUGCAUGGAGCCGACCUUGAAAUACCACCCUUUAAUGUUUGAUGUUCUAACGUUGACCCGUAAUCCGGGUUGCGGACAGUGUCUGGUGGGUAGUUUGACUGGGGCGGUCUCCUCCUAAAGAGUAACGGAGGAGCACGAAGGUUGGCUAAUCCUGGUCGGACAUCAGGAGGUUAGUGCAAUGGCAUAAGCCAGCUUGACUGCGAGCGUGACGGCGCGAGCAGGUGCGAAAGCAGGUCAUAGUGAUCCGGUGGUUCUGAAUGGAAGGGCCAUCGCUCAACGGAUAAAAGGUACUCCGGGGAUAACAGGCUGAUACCGCCCAAGAGUUCAUAUCGACGGCGGUGUUUGGCACCUCGAUGUCGGCUCAUCACAUCCUGGGGCUGAAGUAGGUCCCAAGGGUAUGGCUGUUCGCCAUUUAAAGUGGUACGCGAGCUGGGUUUAGAACGUCGUGAGACAGUUCGGUCCCUAUCUGCCGUGGGCGCUGGAGAACUGAGGGGGGCUGCUCCUAGUACGAGAGGACCGGAGUGGACGCAUCACUGGUGUUCGGGUUGUCAUGCCAAUGGCACUGCCCGGUAGCUAAAUGCGGAAGAGAUAAGUGCUGAAAGCAUCUAAGCACGAAACUUGCCCCGAGAUGAGUUCUCCCUGACUCCUUGAGAGUCCUGAAGGAACGUUGAAGACGACGACGUUGAUAGGCCGGGUGUGUAAGCGCAGCGAUGCGUUGAGCUAACCGGUACUAAUGAACCGUGAGGCUUAACCUUAC
rnacentral:rRNA from 1 species